CCUACGGGAGGCAGCAGUGAGGACUAUUGGUCAAUGGGCGCGAGCCUGAACCAGCCAAGUAGCGUGAAGGAUGACUGCCCUACGGGUUGUAAACUUCUUUUAUAGAGGAAUAAAAUGAUGCACGUGUGGCAUUUUGUAUGUACUUUAUGAAUAAGGAUCGGCUCACUCCGUGCCAGCAGCCGCGGUAAUACGGAGGAUCCGAGCGUUAUCCGGAUUUAUUGGGGUUAAAGGGAGCGUAGAUGGGUUGUUAAGUCAGUUGUGAAAGUUUGCGGCUCAACCGUAAAAUUGCAAUUGAGACUGGCAGUCUUGAGUACAGUAGAGGUAGGCGGAAUUCGUGGUGUAGCGGUGAAAUGCUUAGAUAUCACGAAGAACUCCGAUUGCGAAGGCAGCUUACUAAGCUGCAACUGACACUGAGGCUCGAAAGUGUGGGUAUCAAACAGGAUUAGAUACCCGUGUAGUC
rnacentral:rRNA from 1 species